rnacentral:lncRNA from 1 species
AUGCGAGAUGAGAGGAGAGACUUCGAUGCUCAUCUCUUCCUUAGAUGAAGACUUAAGCUCAAGAAUUAACAAAUAAAUUCCCUAUCCCAUGGGAGAAGAGUCUGUGUGUGGGGGGGAGGGACCGGGUUGAACACGUGUGAAUUUCUCACUUUGAGUUUUGGUGGCCUGGAAAAUGUAAUGUGUUUUUCCUUGCAGGCUCUCUGGAGUGUGACUCAUAAGCCCUUGCAGCUCAGACAGUGUUGCAGACCGAGCUACCAGCAACCUCUUUGUCCUCCAUGUGAUGUUACUGAAUCGGCUCAAGAUAACUCGUACCUUGGAGCAACCUCCUAUUGCAAAGAGAGUUCACCCAAAUAAAUAAUGCUGAAGGGGGAGUUUCUUUAUAUGCUGUGC